rnacentral:rRNA from 1 species
CCUACGGGUGACUGCAGUGGGGAAUAUUGGGCAAUGGGCGAAAGCCUGACCCAGCAACGCCGCGUGAAGGAAGAAGGCUUUCGGGUUGUAAACUUCUUUUGACAGGGAAGAGCAGAAGACGGUACCUGUCGAAUAAGCCACGGCUAACUACGUGCCAGCAGCCGCGGUAAUACGUAGGUGGCAAGCGUUGUCCGGAUUUACUGGGUGUAAAGGGCGUGUAGCCGGGCUGACAAGUCAGAUGUGAAAUCCGGGGGCUCAACCCCCGAACUGCAUUUGAAACUGUUGGUCUUGAGUAUCGGAGAGGCAGGCGGAAUUCCUAGUGUAGCGGUGAAAUGCGUAGAUAUUAGGAGGAACACCAGUGGCGAAGGCGACUUUCUGGACUGUACCUGACGCUGAGGCGCGAAAGCGUGGGUAGCGAACGGGAUUAGAUACCCGAGUAGUC